rnacentral:rRNA from 1 species
AUGACGAACACCACAGUAUUCGAAGAAUCAACGAUGAAUGAACAAAUUUCACAAUACAAAAUUUCUAUAUAUACACAAAAUACAUCAUCACUUGCUGAUCCAAGGCAAAACAGAAUACACCAUUACUCUAUCUACACAGAAUAUUUCACAAUAGCAGCCCCAGAUCCAGUAUGCAUCCAUUUUGAGUUCGAUCGACACCAGUGCCUCCCUGCGAGCAUCCCCUGUGCCCGUGGUCGCCGGAGCAGCAGCAACCAGCAGCCACGCCCCUCUCCCUUCUUUCUUUCUCCAAAAACAGAGUACAUCGACGCCACCACGGAUGCCUGA